ensembl:lncRNA
CCUUGGGAGAGUCUUAGUUUAUGACGGUUAGCCUGGCGUAAUAAUUCAUUAGUGCCCUUUGUCUCUUUAAAUAGCGGCCCAGUUUGGAAGACAAAUGAUAUAUUCACCCUCCUUCGGGGGUCAAGGAGGAGAAAGCAUCCGGGAGGAGGAAACACAGGUGUAAAAUACCACGGAAAGUACAAGGAAGCGGUGUUUGCAAUGUGGUCCGCUGGAGUUGAGUUUGGCAAACUGCUGACUUUGAGCGAGGUUUCUGAGGAAAGAAGUGGAUUGUCAGUAUGACAGCCUAUGAGUCAAGUGAAGAAGCCCAUGAAAAUAUUUUAUGCUGCCAACUUUGGCCAGCUUGUACGGACAACUGACUGAUAACUUGCGGUAUGGACUGGAAGCAAGAAUUUAGGGUAGGCAUGGAUGGGCUGAAGCUCUGGCUGGCAACAUGAGAAAUCUGUCUCCAUAGUCAAGCUGUUACCGCAAAGCUGUGUCUCCUCAGUGCCCUUAUAUACAAAGAAACCGUUGCCCUCCAGAAUGCGUGUGCAGAUUUAAGACAAGUACUUAAUGAAGCUGAUAAACUUGUCAAUCAUGUCACAAGCAGGCAGUUCAAUAAAGACCUGACCUGUUUUCUUGGCUGAGUGAAG